rnacentral:lncRNA from 10 species
CUUAAAUGGACAAAGAAAUCAGCACGUGGUGAGAAAGAGAUUGAAGAGAGAAGAGAGAAUGGGAGUCAUUUGGUAUAUUGAAAAUCUGGAAUGAUAUUUUAACAGAGAUGUCAGGAUUAGCCUUGGACAGGAAAAUGGAAGAAAGCAAAGGUAGAUGGAGACAUGGACAAGAUGGCAGAUGGGGCAUGCACAGAUAGGCUGCAGUGCCUCCUGUCUAAUAGUCUCAGCAGCAAAGUCAUCUGCAAUAAGACAUAGCAGUGUUGGGUGGCAUGAGGAAGCCUGGAUGCGGAUGGAGGGCUGAAGAAGAACUGUAAAGAGGAGCAACUUGCCCUGAGUGCCUACUACUUGACAAGCACGAAAACUACAUCAUUCUUCAUCCUUACAAAAUCUUUAGACUGGGUAACAGCAUUCCCAUUAUAUGAAGAAACUGAGGAGGCAGCCCUGUCCGAAGCCUGGGUCAAGUUAACAAUCCUCCCUGCAAACCCACGCUGAGUGUCCAUUCAGCAUACUCAGGAGCUGACCAAAGAGGGUGCUGGCUCCCCUGCUCCUUCCUCCAGUCUGGUGCACCAUGAUGACUGUUUGGAAGUUGACUUUGAUAGACAAGAGGAUGUUUGUGCACUGCUGGAAGAGACUGUGAAGGACAAGCCCUUCUUUCCUUGGCAAAUCACUGGUCUUCUUCACCUCAAUGUGCCCAAAGCAGGAACACAGACAUUUGGAGCUGGAAUGUGCAUGAAGAAAUUCUAAGAGGGCAUGGGUGGAAACAGGAGGACCAGUCUGAAGGUCUCUGCAAUCUAGUGACCAAUGAGAGUGGUCUAGACAGGGGGUUACAGAGGAGGUGGUGAGAGGUGGUUGGAUUCCAGAUGCAUUUGAAGGCAGAAGUCAGCUUUCCACAGAUGCCUUGCCUAGAAACAUCACUGACCUUUUAGAUUUCCCUUCAGUAUUCCCCUCUCUGUGGUUUGUAUUCUUGAACUGGAGGGCUCAGUUUCUUAUAGCAACAAGGUGAGUUGGGGUAUGGACAGAUGAAGACAGAUCCAUCUCUGAUCCUGGAGACACCAUUCGAAGGGCACAUCUUCCUAAUGAAAAUCAGCCAGCAACAUCAAAGGAAGUUAAGUCCAGCUCAACACUCCACUUUUCCAGGAAGCCUCACUCUCCACAGUGUGAUGGCUUCCUUCUAUGAGCUCAACGGCAGUCUCAUCUAUAGUAAUAACAUCCUACCUGACAUGAGUAUAGUACUUUACAAUUCUUUCAUACCAUUUGGGGAGGUUCUUCCUAACCCCUCGAUUAAGGUGGGCCCCCUGUUGUAUGUUCCCAUAGGACCUUAUUCUUCUCCUAUUCCAAUUUUCACUAUAUGUUAUUGUAGAUGCUUGUUUAAUUACUUGUCUUUCCCGCUAGAUUGAAAAGCUUUAUGAGGAAAAGACAAUGUUAUAGCCUUAGUACCUACCACAGUGCCUGGCUCAUAAGAAGCAUUCAGCAUAUCCCUACAAUUGAAUGGAUAAAUGAUCAUUAACUCUUUUAAUCUUCAAAACAAUUAUUCCAAAGUGGGUGGUACUGACUCCACUUCAUUGAUGAGGUGAAGGAGCUGCUGAGAGACUAUGGUCACAUAGCAAGUUAGCAGAGGAACUGGGAAUAGUACCAGGGUCUAGGCUUUUUCCACUACACUCUACCUGGAACAAAAAAAAAAAAUCCAUUCAUUUAAUCAAUCAAUAUAUACUUAUUGAUUAUUCUCUAUGUCAGGCUCUAUUGUAUGCUGAUAGAAGGACAAACAAAAAAAAGGUCAGAUUUGCAUUUGGAUGCUAUUAAAAGAAACCAAAUGCAGGGAAACGGACAUACAAACACAUAAUUGUAUUAGAGUGUAAUAAAUACCACAGAAGCUCUAGGAGGACUGUCUAACUCUGCUCAUAGGAGGAAUGUCCAACUCUACCUUUAAUAGGUUCCAUUUGAUCUGGGUUUAAAAAAAAAAAUAGGCCGGGCACGGUGGCUCAUGCCUACAAUCCCAGCACUUUGGGAGGCCAAGGCAGG